ACACGCGGUGGUUGCUUGAGGAGGGGCAGCAGCCGCAUCUCUAGGCGACCUUUCUCUCCCCCCCGCCUUCAGCCCAUCAGAACAAUGCUAGUCGUUCUUCACACUUCUUUAAAUAAAUCUUCAUUAUUUUCUUUAUGUGAGAUGUAUAGAUAUCAUUAUCUCGGUUCCCUGGUGGUGUCAAUAAAUUGGUUUGAAUUGCAACACAGUAUUGCUUCACUAGAGACCUGAACAGUGUUCAGAGCUUCUGUGACAUUAAAGGUUGUUGCUUGGAUAUCUCUCUGAAUCGUAUUUUGGGGACAAAAGUUCUUGUGUAGAAAACACCAGCACACUGAAUCUCACGAGUUCUUCUGUGCAAGGCCUGAAUAGCGCAUGUGUAGGAAGAACACCCCUCUCUUCUAGCCGAUCUGUUUGCGGAAGCCAUACCCCUCUUAUGGGAUAUUCAGUUACAUCCUCAUCUGCAGUCUCUGCUCAUACUGCUGCGUCAGUUAUUGUAGCUGUUGUAGAAGGAAGAGGCCUUGCCAGAGGUGAAGUAGGAAUGGCCAGUAUUGACUUAAAAAAUCCUGAGGUGAUAUUAUCACAGUUUUCAGACAAUACAACUUAUGCCAAGCAGUGCCAAUAAAGCUUAUCCUGAUCUUGACACACACAGAUUACUGAGUUCUUCGUUCCGUGGGCAUACCUGAUACUGUAUUGACCAUCCAGUCAAAAAAACCCCGAAACCCCAAACAAAGAACCCCAAAACAAAACAACUCAACUCCCAAAACUUCUCCCCAGAUGCACUACAUGGCUUAGUUUCGUAUCUCAUUCUUUAACACGUUUAACAGUACUGUCUUAUCUGCUGAUCAGCUGCUUUUUUACAGUGUCACUAUCCGUGUUUUGCUAGUGAUGGAUAUCAAGCUUAUUUUAUUUUUCUUGUGCACCCUUUUAUUUUUGAAUGUUCUGUAAAUUAAUUCAUUGAAGUUUUCUUGUAUUCUUUAAGUUCCUCAAGGUUUGCCUUGUCUGUGAUGCCUCUGAGAAAAACUUCCUAAUGAUUACAAGACAUGACGGGCAGCAGCAGCUCUCUCUCCCAUCCUGCAA